GCCUCAGAAAGCAUCCCAGAGCCCCUCCACCCUCCAACAGAUGUCACCUUAAAGCCAGACACAGAAGCUGUGCAGGGCAAGCACAGCAACACUGGCCCCACGUCUCUCAGAAAGGUCAUCCUGUCAGCACUGGGGGCCCAAGAACUCCUCAACUCGCUGCACUCCUACUGCUUCUGCUCCCGGGGGAACAGGAGCACAGGUGCCGCCUGUGGGAGCAGGUGGAGAAGAAUGGCGAGCUGAAGAGGGGCAGCCGCCGACAGCCAGGUGCACACGCUGCAGGAGGAGCUGGACGAGCUGAAGGGAGGGGGCUCCCUUCCUUAGCAGCCUGCUGCCCCCAGCCGAGUUUGGUGGCAGCAGUGGGAUCCAAAGGAGACAUCUGAUGGCUUAGGGGAUGAGAAACACAGGCAUUGGUACCCGCAAAACCUUUGAGUUCUCCAUCUUUGUCAAUGAUUCUGAGAGCCGUGGAGUCAGCUCCAGAGUUUCAGCCAGCAGCAGAAGCAGAGCUGUGGGCAGUGGUGGAGGUAGAGCUGGCUCCAGCUCCGUUGACACCACACCCUCUAGCACUGGAGCCAGUGUCCCCUCUACCAGCAGUGUUGGAGGUGGAGCAAGGGCCAACAUGGGCUCCAGCAGGAGUGGGAGCUGCUGAGUUGGAGUCACCUGGACCAUCAUUUCUAGUGGGAAGUCCAUCUCCACCUGUGGCUAAGAAGUGUGAGAAGAAGCCCAACCUACGGCCUUCCCUCCUAAGCUGGUGGUGGAGCAGUUGACUGUGAUGGAUGCGAGCGUAGAGGUGGACACUAAC